UUGAUCCUGGCUCAGAUUGAACGCUGGCGGCAUGCCUAACACUGCAGUCGAACGGUAACAGGCAGAGCUUGCUCUGUGACUGACGAGUGGCGGACGGGUGCGUAACACGUAGGAAUCUGCCUAGUGGUUGGGGAUAGACCCGGAGAAAUCCGGAUUAAUACCGAAUACGAUCUACGGAUGAAAGGGGGCCUCUUCUUGAAAGCUCUCGACUAUUAAGAUGAGACCUGCGUCGGAUUACGCUAGUUGGUGGGGUAAUGGCCUACCAAGGACAACGAUCCGUAGACUGGUCUGGAGAGGACCGAUCAGCCCACACUGGGACUGAGACACGGCCCAGACUCCUACGGGAGGCAGCAGUGGGGAAUAUUGGACAAUGGGCGAAAGCCUGAAUCCA
rnacentral:rRNA from 1 species